rnacentral:rRNA from 1 species
AUUGAACGCUGGCGGCAUGCCUUACACAUGCAAGUCGAACGGUAACAGGUCUUCAGAUGCUGACGAGUGGCGAACGGGUGAGUAAUACAUCGGAACGUGCCCGAUCGUGGGGGAUAACGAAGCGAAAGCUUUGCUAAUACCGCAUAAGAACUACGGAUGAAAGCAGGGGACCGCAAGGCCUUGCGCGAACGGAGCGGCCGAUGGCAGAUUAGGUAGUUGGUGGGAUAAAAGCUUACCAAGCCGACGAUCUGUAGCUGGUCUGAGAGGACGACCAGCCACACUGGGACUGAGACACGGCCCAGACUCCUACGGGAGGCAGCAGUGGGGAAUUUUGGACAAUGGGCGAAAGCCUGAUCCAGCCAUGCCGCGUGCAGGAUGAAGGCCUUCGGGUUGUAAACUGCUUUUGUACGGAACGAAAAGACUCUUUCUAGUAAAGAGGGUCCAUGACGGUACCGUAAGAAUAAGCACCGGCUAACUACGUGCCAGCAGCCGCGGUAACAC